CCAUGCAAGUCGAACGGAAAGGCCCUUCGGGGUACUCGAGUGGCGAACGGGUGAGUAACACGUGGGUGAUCUGCCCUGCACUUUGGGAUAAGCCUGGGAAACUGGGUCUAAUACCGGAUAGGACCACGCGCUUCAUGGUGUGUGGUGGAAAGCUUUUGCGGUGUGGGAUGGGCCCGCGGCCUAUCAGCUUGUUGGUGGGGUAAUGGCCUACCAAGGCGACGACGGGUAGCCGGCCUGAGAGGGUGACCGGCCACACUGGGACUGAGAUACGGCCCAGACUCCUACGGGAGGCAGCAGUGGGGAAUAUUGCACAAUGGGCGCAAGCCUGAUGCAGCGACGCCGCGUGAGGGAUGACGGCCUUCGGGUUGUAAACCUCUUUCAAUAGGGACGAAGCGCAAGUGACGGUACCUAUAGAAGAAGGACCGGCCAACUACGUGCCAGCAGCCGCGGUAAUACGUAGGGUCCGAGCGUUGUCCGGAAUUACUGGGCGUAAAGAGCUCGUAGGUGGUUUGUCGCGUUGUUCGUGAAAACUCACAGCUUAACUGUGGGCGUGCGGGCGAUACGGGCAGACUAGAGUACUGCAGGGGAGACUGGAAUUCCUGGUGUAGCGGUGGAAUGCGCAGAUAUCAGGAGGAACACCGGUGGCGAAGGCGGGUCUCUGGGCAGUAACUGACGCUGAGGAGCGAAAGCGUGGGGAGCGAACAGGAUUAGAUACCCUGGUAGUCCACGCCGUAAACGGUGGGUACUAGGUGUGGGUUUCCUUCCUUGGGAUCCGUGCCGUAGCUAACGCAUUAAGUACCCCGCCUGGGGAGUACGGCCGCAAGGCUAAAACUCAAAGGAAUUGACGGGGGCCCGCACAAGCGGCGGAGCAUGUGGAUUAAUUCGAUGCAACGCGAAGAACCUUACCUGGGUUGACAUGCACAGGACGCCA
rnacentral:rRNA from 1 species